CAAUAAGCGGAGGAAAAGAAACCAACAGGGAUUGCCCUAGUAACGGCGAGUGAAGCGGCAACAGCUCAAAUUUGAAAGCUGGCCUUCUGGUCCGCAUUGUAAUUUGUAGAGGAUGCUUUUGGCGCGGUGCCUUCCGAGUUCCCUGGAACGGGACGCCUUAGAGGGUGAGAGCCCCGUACGGUUGGACACCAAGCCUCUGUAAAGCUCCUUCGACGAGUCGAGUAGUUUGGGAAUGCUGCUCUAAAUGGGAGGUAAAUUUCUUCUAAAGCUAAAUACCGGCCAGAGACCGAUAGCGCACAAGUAGAGUGAUCGAAAGAUGAAAAGCACUUUGAAAAGAGGGUUAAACAGCACGUGAAAUUGUUGAAAGGGAAGCGUUUGCGACCAGACUUUUUCCUGGCGGAUCAUCCGGUGUUCUCACCGGUGCACUUCGCCAGGUUUAGGCCAGCAUCGGUUUCUAGAGGGGGAUAAAAGCUUGAGGAAAGUAGCUCUUUCGGGAGUGUUAUAGCCUUUUGCAUAAUACCCCUCCGGGGACCGAGGAUCGCGCUCUGCAAGGAUGCUGGCGUAAUGGUCGUCAACGACCCGUCUUGAAACACGGACCAAGGAGUCGAACAUUUGUGCGAGUGUUUGGGUGUUAAACCCUCACGCGUAAUGAAAGUGAACGGAGGUGAGAGCCCUUUAGGGUGCAUCAUCGACCGAUCCUGAUGUCUUCGGAUGGAUUUGAGUAAGAGCAUAACUGUUCGGACCCGAAAGAUGGUGAACUAUGCGUGGAUAGGGUGAAGCCAGAGGAAACUCUGGUGGAGGCUCGCAGCGGUUCUGACGUGCAAAUCGAUCGUCAAAUCUGCGCAUGGGGGCGAAAGACUAAUC
rnacentral:rRNA from 1 species